AGCGGCUUGCGGUCACCACUUCUUUCAGGUCACUCUCGGGUUUCCCGGCCACCAUAAAGGGCCACGUCUGCAGGAGAGAAGAGGGUGGAGGAGGUUGACUGGACUCUCCUCAAUGGUUCUUACGGCAGGUGUCUCGUGCUGUUGCAGCCAGAUGGCAGCUGGAGCCGGAGUCCUCUGAGAGCUUGAUUAGGCUGUACAUCCAAGCAGAUAAGCAACGUGAAAUUGAGAAGACAUACAAAUUUUUUUUUCUAAACUGCCAUCAGAUCAGUAAGUGAGAGCUAAGCAAUAUAAGGGCAUCUAUUUUGAAGAAAUAAAUGCUGUGUCUAGUUGGCUAAAUUAUCUCUCUAGAUUAGAAACCAGUCAUCUGAUCAUUUUAAUUUCCAUGAUCACUAGCGUAGGGGUUGUGGCAAUCAGUUAGGAAGUGUUAUGAAUAGAAACUGAACUCUUAAGCAGCCUCUAUUAGGGAACCUACAUAUGCAGACUCACCAAACACUCAGACAAGAAGAAAAACCUGAUGAGUCAUCACAGAAUUUGGAUGGUCUCCAGUGUUCUUCCUGAUGGUGGAGUUUUUUACAAACGCUUCCUAUACUUAUUUUCUUAUGAUUUUUUUUACAUAAUA